AAUUCCAGUACCAACAUCUAUGGCUAUUCCCACAGUGACCAGAGUGGCACUACUUGAACUUCCCUCUUAUCUUGGGCAACUAUCAUAUCUACAACUGGGAUUGGAAGGGGCUUGUUUCCCUGGAUUACUCCUAGUUCAGGGAAAAGAAAUACUAACAUGCAAACUUCUGACCACCUAGCAGUCUCUUUCAGAGCUUUUUAUCAGGAGAAGAUACUGGAUUUUGUCAAACCCUUUUCUGUGAGAUGAACCUGUGAUUUCAGUCCUUGAAUCCAUUAUGUGAUGUAUUGCAUCUAUUGAUUUGCAUAUAUUGAACCAUCUGUGCAUCUCUGGAAUGAAGUCAAAUUAAUCAUAGA